CCUAGCACUGCCGUGCCAGGCUGAGUUAUGCCGUGCUUUCAGCACU
rfam:Lentisphaera araneosa HTCC2155 1101329224563, whole genome shotgun sequence.